rnacentral:RNase_P_RNA from 1 species
GAAGUUCGCCAGGCAGUCGCUGCGUACCUCGGUGCGUGGAGGAAAGUCCGGGCCCCGUAGAGCAGGAUGCCGGCUAACGGCCGGGCGCCGUGAGGCGACGGAAAGUGCAACAGAAAGCAAACCGCCGAUGGCCAGAUCUGCCGCCGCAAGGCGGCAGCGUCUUUUGGAGUGCAAGCUCCGGCACAGGUAAGGGUGAAACGGUGGGGUAAGAGCCCACCGCAGGACUGGCAACAGGACCUGGCACGGUAAACCCCAUCCGGGGCAAGGCCAAAUAGGGGAGCAUUGGCGUGGCUCGCGUCGCUCCCGGGUAGGCUGCUAGAGCGGCGCGGUAACGCGUCGCCCAGAGGAAUGACUGCCCGAUGCCGUUGGUGCAAGCCGCGGCGUUCGACAGAACCCGGCUUAUCGGCGAACUUCCCAA